rnacentral:rRNA from 1 species
UACGUAGGGUGCAAGCGUUAAUCGGAAUUACUGGGCGUAAAGCGUGCGCAGGCGGUUGUGUAAGACCGAUGUGAAAUCCCCGGGCUCAACCUGGGAACUGCAUUUGUGACUGCACAGCUGGAGUGCGGCAGAGGGGGAUGGAAUUCCGCGUGUAGCAGUGAAAUGCGUAGAUAUGCGGAGGAACACCGAUGGCGAAGGCAAUCCCCUGGGCCUGCACUGACGCUCAUGCACGAAAGCGUGGGGAGCAAACAGG